UGGACAGAUUAUUGUAUUCGACUGUGUCACGGCGUGAAAUAGGGGAUUACACUAUUUUUAAAACGGAAAGUGAAUCAAUUAACAUAAUAGACUCCU
rnacentral:pre_miRNA from 1 species